rnacentral:lncRNA from 1 species
GUGAGAUAGGAAUGUGGACACUGAGAUCACAUAACUAGUAGCAAGGAAGCCAGAACUUAACCAUGGAUCUUUCCAAUUCAAACUUUGCAUCCUAAUUAAAUAAGGCAUCCUCUCAAAUUGACAAUUGCCAAAUGUUCUGGAUGAGAUUUCUAACUAACCAAUGGACCCCCUCACAGUCUGAAAAUGCAUCAAAAGAACACAAGCAGCUAGGAAGAAAGUGGGCCAGAAAGAGGGGCAAAAAUCAGGAGCAUCUAGGCAGCAAAGAACUUCAGUUGUCCAGUUUACAAAAGUAAUCCAAAUGUAAAGGAUUUGCCACUAUGUCCAAACCCACUCCCACAAUUAUCAUCAUCAUCUUCUAGUUCUGCUUCCUCAAAUCUUCCUGGAAUAUCCAGGGGAAAAAAGCCAUGAAAUAUUGAGGGCAGGAAGUUGAACUGAACAGGCAAUUUUGUUUCCUUGCUUCCUUAAAGAAAAUCAUAGAAUACUUC